rnacentral:rRNA from 1 species
CCUACGGGUGGCAGCAGUGGGGAAUAUUGCACAAUGGGCGCAAGCCUGAUGCAGCGACGCCGCGUGUGGGAUGAAGGUCUUCGGAUCGUAAACCUCUUUCAGCAGGGAGGAACGCUAUCUGUGCUAAUCAGCAGUGAAUUGACGUUACCUGCAAAAGAAGCACCGGCUAACUCCGUGCCAGCAGCCGCGGUAAUACGGAGGGUGCGAGCGUUAAUCGGAAUUACUGGGCGUAAAGCGCUCGUAGGCGGUAUGUCAAGUCAAGGGUGAAAUCCCCGCGCUCAACGUGGGAACUGCAUUUGAAACUGGCAAACUGGAGUGUGGGAGAGGAUAGUGGAAUUCCAGGUGUAGGAGUGAAAUGCGUAGAGAUCUGGAGGAAUAUCAGUGGCGAAGGCGACUAUCUGGAAAAUAACUGACGCUGAGGAGCGAAAGCGUGGGUAGCAAACAGGAUUAGAUACCCCAGUAGUC